CCCCCGGCGCCCCGCCUCCGGGUCGGCUCCCUCGGCGCCGCGCCGCCACCGAGCCCCGAGCAGCCUGGCCGUCGCGGCCGCCGCGCCACCAAACUUUCCCCGGAGCCGGCGCCGCUUGGAUGGCAAGAUCCACUGAAACUUGUCGCCGAUGGCAGAGUGGGUGUUAGAAGCCAUUACGUCACAGCAGAGAGGACCGAGCAGAGGAAGCUGAGGAAGACACCUCAGGGGAUGGUUCAACGCGUGGAUUCUCGUGUCCAGCAGACCUCAGUUUGAAUCUUGGUCCUGUCAGCUUGUUAGUUGGGUUUAAGGUGAAGAGUGAAGUUUCCAGCGCUAGAUGACCGAGGUUUGGAUCUCAGCUGCACCGCUUUGCAGAAUGUGUCCCCAGCAAGCCAUCUACCCUGUCUUUGCCGUGAUUCCUUCGAUUAGAAAGUGGAGUUGGUGACGGUAUUAACUUACAGGAUUGUUAUGAGUAUUAAAUGAGUCAU